UACAUGCAAGUCGAGCGGACCGAACGAGGGCUUGCUCUUGUUUGGUCAGCGGCGGACGGGUGAGUAACACGUGGGCAACCUGCCCGCAAGACCGGGAUAACUCCGGGAAACCGGAGCUAAUACCGGAUAACACCGAAGACCGCAUGGUCUUCGGUUGAAAGGCGGCCUUUGGGCUGUCACUUGCGGAUGGGCCCGCGGCGCAUUAGCUAGUUGGUGAGGUAACGGCUCACCAAGGCGACGAUGCGUAGCCGGCCUGAGAGGGUGACCGGCCACACUGGGACUGAGACACGGCCCAGACUCCUACGGGAGGCAGCAGUAGGGAAUCUUCCGCAAUGGGCGAAAGCCUGACGGAGCGACGCCGCGUGAGCGAAGAAGGCCUUCGGGUCGUAAAGCUCUGUUGUGAGGGACGAAGGAGCGCCGUUUGAAGAAGGCGGCGCAGUGACGGUACCUCACGAGAAAGCCCCGGCUAACUACGUGCCAGCAGCCGCGGUAAUACGUAGGGGGCGAGCGUUGUCCGGAAUUAUUGGGCGUAAAGCGCGCGCAGGCGGUCU
rnacentral:rRNA from 1 species